AUGCCUUCUUCCAAACUAGGAAACACGGGAGCCCAGGCCCAGGAUGAGAGGGUAGAGGGUCAAAAUAAGUUUUAUUUCACAGUGGUCAGAAAGGAAAAAGACGUCCAGGAAGAGGAAUCCCACUACCUGUCCAUUAUGGUUUAUGGCCCACAUACCAGCCAGCUGGCAUCACAGGAGCAGGAGAGUGAGUACAGAACUUCUGCAGGUAAAAGCUCUAGAAAUGAGACCCCACGCCAGGCCUCAGACUUGGAAGAGGAAGACAGCUUGGGCCAGACCCCAGUGAGUGCCCAAGCCCUCUUGGAGGGACUUUUGGAGCUCCUACUGUCUAGAGAGACAGUGGUUGGGGCACUGAGGCGUCUGGGGGCCCAAGAAGAGGCAAAGGGAGCAGCAAGGGGCCCAGGUGACCAAGUUCCCCGCAGCACCUGGAUCGACUCUCCGAGUUGGCUGACCAGAUGGUGGCCCGGGGCAACCUUGGCAGGCACCAGGAAAUGAGGGAACAGUUGGCCAUGCGGCUGAAGGGUUUGGAGUGCCAGGCCCUAGGGACCCCACAAUCCCACAUCCCCACGCUCCCUGGACAUGUUCACUGAGGAAGUGGUGGAGAGGGAACUGGAGACCCCAACCCCUACCCAGAAAGAAGAAGCAGAGUUGCCACGAGAUGGUCUGGUGGAUGUGAUGUGGGAAUAUAAGUGGGUGAACCUGGGGGAUGCCAAGCUGCAUGGGCCCUUCACCAGCGCCCAGAUGCAGACCUGGAUGAGUGAAGGCUACUUUCCUGAUGGUGUUUAUUGCUGGAAGCUGGAACCCCUUGGUGGUCAGUUCUACAACUCUAAAUGCAUUGACUUUGACCUCUACACCUUAGCCUGCUGGGGGCCGAGUUUGGUGGGCCCUCCUUUCCUGAACUUUGUGGAGGAAGUCCAAGUGUCUCAGGCAGUGAGGAAAUUGGAGGCCAUUUUUCAGUCAAUUUCCUUUUCCCAAUAAAAGCCUUUAGUUGU